GCGCUUUGGUUUCCCGCCCACUCCUUAAGCUAGUGUGGACACCGCCUCCUUCAACUGUUGAUCCCUGCGAACUUGUGACGUCUGCUAUGGCGCAUGCGCUCCCGUGGAGGCUCCCGUCUCACCAUGCAGCGCAGGCUGGCCUGGAACCCGAUGUGUAGACCAUGGUCCUGUGCUCAGAGACAAGCCUAUCUCUGUCUUCAGCCUGCUGGAACUGAAGGCGAGGAGCACCAAGCCAGCUGUUCAUCUUCAGCAGGACUUUGCUGUGCUGCCAGACUGGCCCGGAAGUUCUAGACCCAAGUGGUCCUCCUGCUUCACUCCUGUGUGUCUGGGACCACAAGUUCAGCCUUCAUAUCGUGAUGUUUACUUAAAAUCACAUCGAAGCCCGGGCGUGAUGGCAGCUGCCUAUAAUCCCAGCAGGUGUGUGGUGGGGGAGGGGACAGAAACAGGAGGUCCUAGAGUGCAAGGCCAGCCUGUGCCACAUGAGCUGAUGGCUCAGUGGUUAAGAGCACUGGCUGCUCUUCUAGAGGUCAUUAGUUCAAUAUUCAGCAACCGCAUGGUGGCUCACAACCAUCUAUCAUGGAAUUUGAUUCUCUCUUUGGUGUACAUGAAAGAAGGGUACUUGUAUACAUAAAGUUAAUAAAUAAAAAUCUUCAAAGAAGUGUA